UAUGACAAAGAGUGCUGGGAAGACGGGACACCACGAGCGUAGCUCUCAUUCUGUAACUACACUCAGGCAAGGUUCGGAUUCUGAGUCGAGAGCUUCGGCCAGCAGCAAAGACGCACUCAUAAUCUUCAACGCACUGUACAUUCAAAAAUACAAACGAAGCUGACUAUAUAUACUGCAGUGGCGUGCACAGCAAGGCUCGGGUCAAGCUAGGCCGUGUGUGGCGAGGAGAAUAUGUAUGGAGGGACGGCGUCCGAAGCAGUGUUCGAGCAAGGCGGGAAGACCAUCAUCAGCUGAGAGCGGCGUUGGAGGCUCUCGCCAGCAGCAGGGCGGCGGCUCCUCUUUAUUUACGUUAUUUACCUGUUAUAUGUGGCUUGUGCAUGGUUAUGUGACGUGUGACAUUUCAAGUGUAACUCCCAGAUAAGAUAAAGAAACUAUCAUAUAGUGACGUAGUGAAAAGGGCGCAGUACCCUAGGAUCGGAAAUUCUGCUUCAAGUUCAAGUUUCUCCUGCUUCUCUUGAAGAUAUCUGGAGAGUAGAGGGUUUCAGCCUGGUGUGACCUCACUGUAGACGAAGUACCCUAGCCGUCUCGCCCUUCAAGAGGUAACGUGGAGUGUCUAUUGCACUGUGGAAGUUCACCUCGGGCAGUCCCGAACUCCUGACUUGUUCCUGUGAGAGGACAAGUGGCCGCCGUCGGUAGUAGCAGUGUUGUGUGGACCGACGUACCCGGGAUUAGACCAAGAGGAGUUACAAGACGACAGUAGCGGCCGUCUGCUGAGAAGUGCUGCUUGUGUGUUGCUAAGGACUUCUGCCAGGGUGUUUAAGGACCACCAGGGUGUUUAGAUUAAGGACCUGCCCAAAACGUGAUGCAUGCUAGUUAUUGUUAGUUAAAUGUUAGUCGCACACCCUCCGUCACUAUGUGAUGGAGUGCGAAACGAUACGUGAAUUCAGAGACAAUUCUAUAACAUGUUCCAGAGAUGUGUAAAUAUUUCAUUAAAUUGAUCUGCUACAAGAAAUUAUAGCCAAAUAUCCCCAGUUUGCUAACUGUAGGUAGUAACUAAGUGAUUGUAACCUAUCCACUUAGGUGUAACCUAUC